UAGGGAAUCUUCGGCAAUGGGGGCAACCCUGACCGAGCAACGCCGCGUGAGUGAAGAAGGUUUUCGGAUCGUAAAGCUCUGUUGUAAGAGAAGAACGUGUGUGAGAGUGGAAAGUUCACACAGUGACGGUAACUUACCAGAAAGGGACGGCUAACUACGUGCCAGCAGCCGCGGUAAUACGUAGGUCCCGAGCGUUGUCCGGAUUUAUUGGGCGUAAAGCGAGCGCAGGCGGUUUAAUAAGUCUGAAGUUAAAGGCAGUGGCUUAACCAUUGUUCGCUUUGGAAACUGUUAAACUUGAGUGCAGAAGGGGAGAGUGGAAGUCCAUGUGUAGCGGUGAAAUGCGUAGAUAUAUGGAGGAACACCGGUGGCGAAAGCGGCUCUCUGGUCUGUAACUGACGCUGAGGCUCGAAAGCGUGGGGAGCAAACAGG
rnacentral:rRNA from 1 species